GAUGCGGUGGCCUAAUGGUUAGCGUGUUGGACUCCGGAUCGAGUGAUCCGGGUUCAAGGCCUGGCUGGGAUCA